rnacentral:misc_RNA from 1 species
AAAUGAUAAACGCAACGAUGACUCGAUCUUUUUAUCGAUCGUGGAUGGAACAGUGGAUUCAAAAGUGGAUCGAAGUAACGUGAAGAUCUUCGAUCUGUUACGCGAGAAAAAACCUAAAUAGACUCCUCCCUGUUUCAUUGGAACUAACCGUUUCACAAAUAUGCAAAGUAUGUUCCGUAACUAAACAUGGGAACAAUCGUAACUUAUUGCAUAAAACCAGUUCGAAUGAAGCAAUGCGAUGGCGUCAGUAGAGUCGACAUCGACCGAUGAAAUCGUAGUAGAAAACCACCUAUCCGGUGGUAAUCGUCGACAGACCUGUGGAACUAGGUUGGUCUUGGCCUGUUGUCCUAACUCGUGGCUUGGCAACUGGUCUGCUACUCUAUAAAUAGCUGGCCUAACUUCCGAUUCGAAAGACAGGCAACAAGUUUCACCUAUGCAUUCGCAUUCUCUGUCUUUAAUUCUAAAG